UGCUCAGGUGGACUAGUGGUUACAGCGUCCGCCUCUGAUGCGGGAGGUCAUGGGUUCUAUCCCCGGUCGAGUCA